GGGGGCGACAUUGGCUUCGACGUGGGUUGCGAAACCUGAGGUGCAUGCCGAGGAUACAGAUUCCCUCGUUAAUCCAUCUGUACCAAAGAUAGUUGCCAACGACGACAACUACGCGCUCGCCGCUUAAACACCGGUAGAGGCCGUCUGACUGGAGCCGUGCUUGUGCGUCCAGGGUCCUUCGGGACCACUCAGGCGUCAUAUCUCACAAGAUCGUGACAAGGCUCGUCCGGGGCCGCGUCAUUAAAACCCAACCGGAAUCGCCGUCCUGAACGCCCUGUCCGUCGGGCAUCAGGCGGUUAAACUGAAAAGACGCGACUAAGCAUGUAGAGCCAAGGGCAGAGGACUUGCGGACGCGGGUUCGAUUCCCGCCGCCUCCACCA
rnacentral:tmRNA from 1 species